UCCGUAGGCGGGCUAAUAAGUCAGGGGUGAAAUCCCACAGCUUAACUGUGGAACUGCCAUUGAUACUGUUAGUCUUGAGUUAUAUGGAAGUAGAUAGAAUGUGUAGUGUAGCGGUGAAAUGCAUAGAUAUUACACAGAAUACCGAUUGCGAAGGCAGUCUACUACGUAUAUACUGACGCUAAUGGACGAAAGCGUGGGGAGCGAACAGGAUUAGAUACCCUGGUAGUCC
rnacentral:rRNA from 1 species